UUGCUUAUUUUGGGGACGCUGAAAUGUAUUGUAGUACAAGUAGAAAGAUAUAUUUUUCAAUGCGUAAAUACUGAUAGAACA